rnacentral:rRNA from 1 species
UACGUAGGGGGCUAGCGUUGUCCGGAUUUAUUGGGCGUAAAGAGCGUGUAGGCGGUCCGGUAAGUCGGAUGUGAAAGCCCUUGGCUCAACUGAGGAAGUGCACCCGAAACUGAGUGGCUUGAGUACUAAAGAGGGUCGCGGAAUUCCCGGUGUAGCGGUGAAAUGCGUAGAUAUCGUAAGGAAGACCAGUGGCGAAGGCGGGUCUCUGGACAGUUCCUGACGCUGAGGCACGAAGGUCAGGGGAGCAAACGGG